GGGAUUGCAGAACAGAGAACCGUCUGUCUCACCAGGUCCAGUUAGUUUUGUUCCGUCCUCUCAACUGCCACCUGGCAGCAACAGCUCUCCCAUCAGGCGAUUCAGAGAUUUAUCACUCAAGCAGCUUUUUUUUUUUCUUUCUGCAGCACCAAUUGGGGACCUUUUCUAGUGGUUUCAGUCACUUGAGAGAUUCAGGAUCCCCCGUAUGCAGAUCUCCAUCAUCUGAAUGCAGAGUGAACUGCAACCCAUACAUCAAAACAUGUAGAGGAUCGUUGUUGACCACCUCACCAAUAGCUGUGAUCAGACGGAUGAUCAUCUUGGCAGUGUGGUAUCCAGGAGCGGCCUGCAUAAAGAAGUGGCAAGAAUAAUACGCAGAGAAAACAUAUAGAGACAAACAACCAUUCACACUCACAUCCACACCUACGGGCAAUUUAGAGUCUUCAAUGCACCUAAGCUGCAUGUCUUUGGACUGUGGGAGGAAGCCGGAGAACCCGGAGAGAACCCACGCUGACACGGGGAGAACAUGCAAACUCCACACAGAAGGUUGAAAACAUCUUAUAACUGAAUUUGAAUUAAUGUGCUUCUUUUUUUCUGCCUUCCAAAUCUCAAUUUUUUUUUUAAAUUUUACUCUGCAAAAGUCCCCCUUUAAAUGUUAUCCUCACCCAAAUGUUUUGACUGCACCGAGCUUUAACAUUAUCCCACUUCCUUAACUUGUACCUUGUGUUAAACCACACUGAUGAAAGUACAGACAUUUUAUCAUUGCAAGACUUUAUAAUUAUGGCACUUAACCAGAGAGAACACUAACAGAGUGUGAACCCUCUGCUGCCAUAAAUAUAUACAUGUUAUGCAGUGCAUUAUGGAAAUGUUUGACAUGUUGCAAUGUGCAGUACUCACCUCCAGGUGGCGACGGUUGAUCUCAUAGACAAUUUCCAGGUGGCGAGGCAGCAGAUGAGCAAACAGGUCGACAGGCCAGCGCUCCAGAGCUUCAGGAAGGACGGUGUGAUUGGUGUAGGCACAGGUGUUGCUCUUCCUCACCAAGUCCCAUUGAAGUUUUUCCUCAUCAACCAGAACCCUCAUCAGCUCAGGAAUAGCCAUGGCUGGGCAGUUUGCUGAAGUCUGUGCGAACGAUCUCCCUGGAGCCAAACUUAGAGACCUUGAAACGGCGGAUGAUGUCUUGCAGGGUGGCAGAC